GGCAAUGUAGCCAAGUGGUUACGGCGCUGGCCUGCUAAUUCCUCAGCGGAUUAUCAGAGAAGCCAGUCUCUUCGGAGGCGCAGGUUCGAAUCCUGUCAUUGUCG